ACCCACAACCACAGACCAGCAUCCCAUUAUUUGCUCAUGGGCUGUACUAGAGCACAAAUUGCUUUUGCACUGCAGGGAGCAUGAUAUGCAUUUAAGGCUGCACUGCAUUCCAAAGCAAAUUGCUUAGCUCCUCUCAGCUAGUUUUUUUUUUUUUUUUUUGUCUCAAUUCAUUGAAGUUUCCUUGUUACAUGUUUAAUGCGAAUGCUCCACUGCACUGGAUGUUUUGUCACAGGAAACCCAAGGAAGAAAGUCAUAUUUCCCCAAUAGAACCA
rnacentral:lncRNA from 1 species